GAGAGAAAGGACCUUGGUCCUUGACUUCUCCCCUGCCCCACCCUCCAUGUGUGCUCUGAGUUCUGACGGAUGCAGGCAGAGGGAGCCCUUCCAUGGACCAGGUCGUGAUGCCCAGACAGUGUGGGGCUGGAGUUACAGUGAUUGAUGAUAGCUGAGGAGAGCUUUUGACUUCUUUAUCUCUUUUUCAGAAAGCUUUUGUUUUUCUUUUAUGACAUUUGUUUUAAUUUGCAGAAAUUAUUUUUGUGUUGAAACCUUAACCCGGGGUUAUAUGAGUUAUGCAUAUUUAUUUUAAGUAAGUUGAUCAUCUUUUUUAUUUUGAUGUUUGCUUUGUUGUCAUAUAUUGAUGUUUCUGAUUUUGGGGUGUGACACAUAUUAGAAUUCUCAGGUGAGCUUUUCCCAUUAUCUUUUAACUUAGAUGAUCUCCUCCUGCUCAGAAACAGUUUUAUUUUAUUCCACUUAUUUUGCCAAGAAAAAUCUUUAAAAUAUAUUUACAAGAGAUUUUUACAUGAUAAAGACAGAAACUGAUUUACCCCAUCUGCUGCCACAGUGAAAGUAGCGUUAUUUACCAAAUAAUCCUCUUCCUGACUGAUUUGUGUUGCUUUAAAAAGUUGCAUGUUAAAUUGCGCCUGUGUGCGUGGUUAUUACUUUCUAUCUUUCUGUUCUCUAGUGUACUUUUUUAGUUCUUUUGCAGUGUUUUAUCUUAUACUUUCAUCUUUAUUAUUUUUGUUACAUACUCUAUUAAAGAACCAGAGGCAUAUAGAUUAGAUAGCGAUGAAUAUGUUUUAUCAAGAAGUAGGCACUCCUGUCUUCAUUAUGCAGAACUGAAAAUAAUUUUCUUUUCCCUGCUGCAGGCGAGAAUGGUCCUGGAGAGUGUUCAUCCUCCUUCAGUCCUCGGUCCUUUGGUUGUUCAGAAAACAUGGCAAUUAUGUUUCUACUUCUUGUUGCAAAGCUAAGGGAAAUGGAGAAGUUACCUGCAUGUUUUUUUCUUUUGAUUUAGGGGCUGUGGAGAGAAGGGCUGAACGUGUGGAAAAGUUUCUACAGCGAAAGCAGGAGCGCAGAAGGCCCCCCAGGGCAGAUAGAGAGACCCGCGACGUGGCGAACGAACUGCACAAAGUGGCAAAAAUCCAUGGAGAAAUACAAGGCAGUGGCAAGAUUGGAGAGAGUGACUUUGUGGGAGGCUGAAAUAAGUGAAAUGAAGAAAAGCCUUGGGAAGCAUUACGGAGUUCCUCCGGACUGCAUUUACACUGAGCACUCGGUUGUGGACAGUCAGACUUUAAUGAAGAUCUUACGCAGACUGUGGGAGACGAGAAGAGGCUAGAAACUGUGUGGUCUGUUACAGCGGGGCAGCAGGUACCAUCAUGGGUUGAUGGAGAUUAGGCAGGGACAAAAGGUGGAGACGCUCUUCAGGCUGAAGCACAUCAAGGUUGGUGAACUUUGAGGAUAACUUUCCUAGAAGCACUGUCUUCACCCCUUGGACUGAAUGUCCCCUGAUAGCUUAUAGGGAAAUGUGCCCUGACAUCACCUCUCUCUCCCCCAGGUCCCUCCACUUACCAGGAUGCUCUGCCAACACUCAGCAUUUUUAUUUUGUUUUCUUAAUACAUUUUUACAUAGUUCAUAUACAAAGCAUGUGCAAUUUGGGAUCCUGUCUGCUUUACCUUUGAGCUUCUCAGGUGGCUCAGCAGUAAAGAAUCUGCCCGCCAAUGCAACAGGCUUGGGUUCGAUCCUUGGGUCGGGAAGAUCCCCUGGAGAAGGAAAUGGCAACACACUCCAGUAUUCUUGUGUGGGAAAUCCCAUGGAUAGAGGAGCCUGGCGGGCUGCAAAGAGUUGGAUACAACUGAGCAACUGAGCACGCAAAUGUAAUCAAGUGAAUUAUUAAUGAACAUUACAUAAUCAACAUCUUUUAAGUGCAUCGUAACACACACACACACAUAUACUCUACUUAGACAUUUUCUUGACAUUUUCUGGUUUAUACAUUUAUAUCAGCAUUUCUCAUUAUUGAAAUGACUGUUUCAGAGGGCAAAAGUAUUAUUAAG
ensembl:lncRNA